AUACGGAAGGCAGCAGUGGGGAAUUUUGGACAAUGGGCGCAAGCCUGAUCCAGCAAUGCCGCGUGCAGGAAGAAGGCCUUCGGGUUGUAAACUGCUUUUGUACGGAGCGAAAAGGCUUCCUCUAAUACAGGGGGUCCAUGACGGUACCGUAAGAAUAAGCACCGGCUAACUACGUGCCAGCAGCCGCGGUAAUACGUAGGGUGCGAGCGUUAAUCGGAAUUACUGGGCGUAAAGCGUGCGCAGGCGGUUUUGUAAGACAGGCGUGAAAUCCCCGGGCUCAACCUGGGAAUGGCGCUUGUGACUGCAAGGCUGGAGUGCGGCAGAGGGGGAUGGAAUUCCGCGUGUAGCAGUGAAAUGCGUAGAUAUGCGGAGGAACACCGAUGGCGAAGGCAAUCCCCUGGGCCUGCACUGACGCUCAUGCACGAAAGCGUGGGGAGCAAACAGGAUUAGAUACCCGGGUAGUCC
rnacentral:rRNA from 1 species